CUCGUAGGUGGUUUGUCGCGUUGUUCGUGAGAACUCACAACUCAAUUGUGGGCGUGCGGGCGAUACGGGCAGACUGGAGUACUGCAGGGGAGACUGGAAUUCCUGGUGUAGCGGUGGAAUGCGCAGAUAUCAGGAGGAACACCGGUGGCGAAGGCGGGUCUCUGGGCAGUAACUGACGCUGAGGAGCGAAAGCGUGGGAGCGAAC
rnacentral:rRNA from 1 species